CAAUAGCGUAUAUUAAAGUUGUUGCAGUUAAAAAGCUCGUAGUUGGAUUUCUGGUUGAAGCGACCGGUCGGGCGUUGAUUCGUCUGCACUGGAGUCGGUUUUGGCCAUCCUCUAGGAAAGUGCGUCUGGUAUUAAGUUAUCGGGCGUAUGAUCCUGGUCUUUUACUGUGAAAAAAUUAGAGUGUUUAAAGCAGGCCUUCGCCUUGAAUACAUUAGCAUGGAAUAAUAAGAUAGGACUUUGGUCUAUUUUGUUGGUUUGCAGACCGAAGUCAUGAUUAAUAGGGAUAGUUGGGGGUAUUUAUAUUCCGAUGUCAGAGGUGAAAUUCUUAGAUUUUCGGAAGAUAAACUUAUGCGAAAGCAUUUACCAAGGAUGUUUUCAUUAA
rnacentral:rRNA from 1 species